GACGGAAGGUGCAAGCGUUGCUCGGAAUCACUGGGCGUAAAGGGUGCGUAGGCGGCCGUGCAAGUCUGGCGUGAAAGCCCCGGGCUCAGCCCGGGAAGUGCGCUCGAAACUGCGCGGCUCGAGUGCCGGAGGGGAGAGUGGAAUUCCUGGUGUAGCGGUGGAAUGCGCAGAUAUCAGGAGGAACACCAAUAGCGAAGGCAGCUCGCUGGGACGGUACUGACACUGAGGCGCGAAAGCGUGGGGAGCGAACGGG
rnacentral:rRNA from 1 species